GUAUGAUUGCCAAUGAGACAACUGUCCACAAGAGACCAAAAUGACACAGACAUUAACAACUAUAGGUCACCGUACGGCCUUCAACAACGAUCAAAGCACAUACCGCAUAGUCAGCUAUAAAAGGCCCCGAUAUGACAAUGUAAAACAAUUCAAACGAGAAAACUAACGGCCUUAUUUAUAUACAAAAAUGAACGAAAAACAAAUAUGUAACACAUAAACAAACGACAGCC
rnacentral:lncRNA from 1 species